AGGUGAUAUCACAGAAAGAAAGGUUGCCAUUGAAAGGGACCAGGACAAGCUUGAGAAAUGGGCCCAUGUGAACUUAAUGGGGUUCAACAAAUCCAAGUACAAGGUGCUGCACCUGGGUCAGGGCAAUCCCAGACAUGAGUACAGACUGGGAGAGGAACUCACUGAGAGCAGCCCUGUGGAGAAAGACUUGGGCCUUCUGGUGGACAAAAGGCUUGACAUGAGCCAGCAGUUCGUGCUUGCAGUCCUGAAGGCCGACUGCAUCCUGGGCUGUAUCACAGAGGAGUGGCCAACAGGUCAAGGGAGUUGAUUGUCCCCUCUGCUCUGCCCUUGUGAGGCCCCACUUGGAGUGCUGCAUC